rnacentral:lncRNA from 1 species
ACCAGGAAGCCUUGCCUGCCAUGCCAACUUCAACAGUCUAGAGAGGGGGCUUGCCAUCAUCAGUUUGGAGGUGAGGACGCUGUGGUUCAGAGAAGUGAGGUGGCUUCUCCGAGGUCACACAGUCCAGUGAGAGAGCUACGAUUUAAACCAGGUCCGUCUUAAUCCACUGAAUGUGCUAUAUCAGGAGAGAAAGGUAUGCUGGAGUGCAAAUUUGGAGUGGGCAUAUUUGUGGCCUCCUGAAGGGAACAAGUGGCUAGAGGAGCUGCAGAGCUCUGCGGGGCUUGAAAGGUGUCCAUAACCUUCCAUUAUCCACCUUGACCAGGACAGAAGCAUUAGUUCAUGGGAGAGCAGAAUUUGGUUCCUGCAGAGUUUAUCAAUUCUUAUAAUUAUCCAGAAUGACUCAUGUUGCGGCCAAACCAAGUGCCUUCUGCAAACGGGCCAUCCAGACCAGGGUUGAGUCAGCUGCGUCAGUGGGAGCCACACGGGGCUUGUGGCCAUGGUCAAGGCAAAUAUGUAGGUUUGUGGUCAAGGCCUUCUAGCAGGCAUGAGAAAUAUGGGGAAGUCAUGGGAGCACUUCAUGCUUCAGAACUAAAGGGAGGGAUUAGGAAGACAGAGCAGCAGAAGCAGGAGGUGAGCACUGGGGCAUAUGCAGUGCGUGUGGGUGUUUGGGGUGCUUGUUUCCAUGUGGGCACUACUUCUAUUGGAAUGAUAGUUCCACCUCUUUCCUUAUGCCUUGCUCAUCCCUUACUCUGUUAUUUCUGCCACACCUACCGAAAUCUGCUCUUAUAGUACAAAAACAGCCUAGACUAUAUGUAUAUGAAUGAGUAUGGCUGUGUUCCAAUAAAAUUUUUAUGGUAUUGUUUUAGUACUUUCCAGCUGCUAUAACAAAACACCAUCAACUGAGUGACUUAUAAACAACCAAAAUGUACUGUACAGUUCUGGAGGCUGGGAAGCCCAAGGUCAAGGAACAAGCAGGUUCAGUGUCUGACGACGGCCUGCUUCCUGGUUCAUAGAUGGUUGGUUUUUUUUCUUGCUGUGUCCUCACAUCAUGGAACAGGAAAGGCAGCUCUCUGGGGCUUCUUUUAUUUAUUCAUUUUGUUCGUUUUCCUUUUUAGAGAUAGAGUCUUGUUCUUUCACCCAGGCUGGAGCACAGUGGUGUGAUCAUCACUCACUGUGGCCUUGAACUCCCAGGCUCAAGCAGUCCUCCUUCCUCAGCCUCCUGAGUAGCUGGGACUGCAGGUGUGCACCACCACACCUGGCUUGGGCCUUCUUUUAUAAGGGCACUAAUCUCAUUUAUGAGGGCUCCACUCUCAUAACCUAAUCAUCUUCCAAAGACCCUACCUCUUAGUACCAACACAGAGGUGAUUAGGUCUUCAACAUGUGAAUUUUCAGGGAUACAAAUAUUCAGACCUAGGCCCCAGGCAGCUUCUGAAUUAGCAGCCUGCAACAGAUUGGAAUUCCUGGGGGACUUCACUUAACCCUCAGUUCUCCCAAACCAGUUUUCAAUGCACUGUUGCGUGGGGGCUCCUUGUUGCACCCAGCUGUGUGGCAGAUGUGCUUUUUGUAUCCUGGGAAGUAGCAGGAGGGUUUGGGGUAGGUCAAAAAGUUAAAAUGUCAAUGUUCUGAAGGGUGAUGGGAGUAGAAACUUGGUGAUAUGAAAGACGAUUUGAAUUUAGAUUCUUAAAAAAAGAAUAAAAGCAUUCUUUUAUAUAUCUGCAAUAGAUAACAAUUAAAUAAGUCACACAUGAAUCAUCAAAAUUAGAGUGAGGGCAACGACCUCUGGGGCUUGAAAGGUGGCCAUAACCUUCCAUUAUCCAUUCAUUACCAUAGCAGGUACUGAAAUUUGAAUUUUAUAUAAUUUUCACUUGUCACAAAAUAGUCUUCUUGUGGAUUUUUUCAACCAUUAUAAACAUAUAAAAACCAAUCUUAAUUCAUAGCUGUACAAAAACAGGUGGUAGGCUGGGUUUGGCCACAGGCUGUAGUUUGCUAACCCUUGAUUUAGGCAAUAGUCAGGUCGCCUCUAGCUAGAAAACUUCUUAGAUCAUUGAUCUCAUCAAAUACGUAUUGGUUUUAAAUGUAAUUAUUAGGAACAAACUUAUUUUCAAUUGGUAAGGUGUAUUACACUUUGUUGUCUCUCUUUUCCAUGCCUCCUUCCCACUAUGUAAUAGCUAUACCUAUCUUGUAGUCCUAUAUACCUUAUAUGUGAGGGCUAAAUGACAUAACAUAGUGCCUGGUGCCUAGUCAUAUGAGUUUUCACUUCCCUUUUCUUCUAAGGUUUUGCUUGGAAUCUGCCAUCAGCAAUGCCGAGGCCUGGCCUUGGUGGAAAUGGAGGUGCUGCUUAACUUUUCUUCCAAAACAUAGUACAACCCUAGUCAUCCUGGUGAGUAACAAGAUUGCUCCAUAAUCCAACCCAGUGAGUAAUCCCUUUUGCUGAUGGUGAGUGGUAUGGAGAGAAAAACAUGAAAGUGCACUGUGGAAAUAAUGCCAGUAGCUCCCACCAGAAAUCCCUUAGGCUGUGCCUAUUAGAGCUAGGGUACACAUCUAGAAAAUGCCCCUUUCUUUAUCAGUACCCAACAUAUAGGACCUGUUAACCCUGCUCAUGCUUUAUGUACACAUUGAAUGUUUAUCUGGCUCUUGAUGCCAUCUCAAGAAAGAGACUCAACACCACAAAAUACUUAAGAGAAAUGUAUAUGAUAUGGUUUGGCUGUGUCACCAUCCAAAUCUCAUCUUGAAUUGUAGCUCCCACAAUUCCCACGUGUUGUGGGAGGGACUUGGUAGGAGAUAAUUGAAUCUUGGGGGCAGUUCCCCCAUACUGUUCUCAUGGUAGUGAAUAAGUCUCAUGAGACCUGAUGAUUUUGUAAGGGGUUUCCCCUUUCGCUUGGUCCUCAUUCUGUCUUGCCUGCUGCCAUGUAAGACGUGCCUUUCGCCUUCUGCCUUGAUUGUGAGGCCUCUCCAGCUAGAUGGAACUGUGAGUCCAUUAAACCUCUUUUUCUUUAUAAAUUACCCAGUCUCAGGUAUGUCUUUAUUAGCAGUGUGAGAACAGACUAAUACAAUAUAUUUUACUGAAGAUAUUGUGAACAUCAACAGGAAGAAUCCACAAUGCAUUUCACACUGCAAAAAUACAGUAAAACACCCCCAUUACACAUAUUUCUUGAUUUUCAAAAAGCAUUUUUCUUUACCAGCUUUCUUAUCUCCCUUUCUUUUCUUGCUUCAAAACACUCUAUUCUCUGAGCAAUUCAGCUCAGUGUUUCUUGUUCUAACAGAGCAUUCUGCAAGGAUCAUGUUCCUUCUUCCACAUAUUCAUCCUUUAGAUGUUUCUUUCAUGAGAAGCUAUGAGUGGUAAACUGUCUUGGUUAUUGUUUCACCAAAAUGUUUUUAUUUUGCUAUCAUUCUUGAAAGGUAACAUUUCUGAGGACACAGUUCCAGAUUGACAAUUAUUUUUUUCAGCCUUUGAUGACAUGAUUCCAUUGUCUUUGUGCUUUGUUAUUUCUGACAGAGGUCUGCUGUCAGACUAUAGUCAUUUUGUAGUAGAUGAGCUAUCUUUCAUUUCAUGUGACUUAAACCAUUUUCUCUUUUGCUUUGGUGUUUUACAGUUUCACCUGAUGUGCCUAGUGUGUGUGACUAUUAUUAUUAUUAUUAUUAUCAUUUUUUGAGAUAGGGUCUCACUCUGUCACUCAGGCUGGAGUGCAGUGGCAUGAUCUAGGUUCACUGCAGUCUUGACCUCCUGGGCUCUAGUGAUCCUCCCACCUUGAGACCCUGAGUAUUUGGGACCACAGGCACAUGCCAUCACACCUGGCUAAUUUUUAAAUUUUUUUGUAGAGCUGAGAUCUCAUUAUGUUGCCCAGGCUGAUCGCAAACUCCUGAGCUCAAGCAAUCCUCCUGCCUCAGCCUCCCAAAGUGCUGACAUUACAGGUGUGAGCUGAGGUGCGUAGCUAUAUUUGGAAAUUUGUCCUGCAUUAUUCUUCCUGUCUCUGAGGAUUCAUGUCAUUCAUUAGUUCUAGAAUUUCCUUAGCCACUUUCUUUUUGGAAUGUCUCUCCCAUUGUUUCUAUUCUUUCUUCUGGGACUCCGGGUGUAUGUUAGAACUUCUCAUUCCUCCCUUUUUCUUACUCAUUGUAUUCUCUCAUCUUUUUCUUGCUGCAUUCUGAGUGUUUUCUUAAGAUCUGUCUUCAGUUCACAAAUUCUUUAGUCAUUCAUGUUUAUUUUGCUGCUUCACUUAUCUAUUAGUUUAUUUAUCUUUGCAUUCAUUCAUCUAUGUAUCUUUCAUCUACACAUGUACACGCAUAUAUAUGUAGUUUAAUGCAUGUUAUUUUAAUUAGAUAUAGU